AAGUGAUGAGGAAGAACAAUGACCAGCUAUGCUAUUUUAUCACAACACUAGCAUGUGAGGUUCAAGGACGUUGACUGAUUCUCCCAAAGUCACACAGUUGGUUAAUGAGUCCUUGAAAAUGCAGCAGAAAACUCAAAGUACAGCACACUCCUUAAAUGAAGGCUCACAGGGACUGGAAGGUGAAGAAUAUCGGGAUAAAUGGGGAAGACCAGCAUCCCUGUAGUCCAGCUCAUCAGUGGGCCUUUAAAGGUUUCCUAUUGAUCUGCAAAACUAUUGUCUCAGUUUGCAGUUUCCCUUUUGGAAACAUCCUUUGCCUUUUGGUCAUGUUCUGUAUUUAGUUUGUGCACCAAACAUGGCUUCUUUUCUGGGAGCAGGCAGCAGACAUCCUGGGCCCAGGGCUGAAGAUGGAUCUGACUUGCUGAUCCUUUAAGGCAAUUGCCUGGGUGUUCCAGGAAGUCUUCGCUGUGAAAGAACAAUGGAGGAUGUUGGAAGAGAGGUGAGGGUCUAACAAGGACCCGGUGGCCUUAUUCCAAAAAGGGAAAAUACUAGCAAAGCAAGAAUUGCCGUUUAUUGAGCACUCUCUUGAUCUUCAACUGCAAGACAAGCAUGUGAAGGGAAAUUAGACCAAAGAACAAACCAAGACUGAGAACUAGUUAUUUGUCUGGAUAAACUCAGCUUUAAAUCUUGGUUUUA